UUUUAGAUCAUCUGCUGGAAAAAAGGACGAGAAGACGGGAAGCUCAUUUUCCUUUCGAUUUCCCCUGCUUUAAUAUGACUUUCUACUAUAUCUAUGCUCGAUCUCAUCUACGAUUGCGAUUUUCUUUUCUUGUUUGUUUUUUGGACGAUUUAUAAUCUAAAUGAACUUUUAUUCUUUCGUGAAUUUGUGCAAGAGAGGGAUCUYGAUGCUUUGAGGAUCYUAGAAGGAGAGUCCCUUAUUGUUCUUCUCAGGCUAUGAACCACCKGUUGAAAGCCCUAAAUAUCAAUUGAACGGUGAACUUCACAAUAGAAUGGUGUUUUUGCUGUUUGCACUCCGCCAUGGACUCCACAAUGUUUGGAACGAGAAGAAGAAGAAGAUUUGAUUGAACGCCAUGGUGAACGAAUAACUGGAUCUAUC